rnacentral:rRNA from 1 species
UACGUAGGGUGCGAGCGUUAAUCGGAAUUACUGGGCGUAAAGCGUGCGCAGGCGGCUAUGCAAGACAGAUGUGAAAUCCCCGGGCUCAACCUGGGAACUGCAUUUGUGACUGCAUGGCUAGAGUGCGGCAGAGGGGAUGGAAUUCCGCGUGUAGCAGUGAAAUGCGUAGAUAUGCGGAGGAACACCGAUGGCGAAGGCAAUCCCCUGGGCCUGCACUGACGCUCAUGCACGAAAGCGUGGGAGCAAACAGG